rnacentral:rRNA from 1 species
UAGGGAAUAUUGCAAAAUGGGCGAAAGCCCGAUGCAGCAACGCCGCGUGGGCGAUGAAGGCCUUCGGGUCGUAAAGCCCUUUUUGAGGGGAUGAGGAAGGACAGUACCCUCAGAAUAAGCCUCGGCUAACUACGUGCCAGCAGCCGCGGUAAAACGUAGGAAGCGAGCGUUAUCCGGAUUUACUGGGCGUAAAGCGUGUGUAGGCGGUUUGACAAGUUGGAUGUGAAAGCUCCUGGCUUAACUGGGAGAGGUCGUUCAAAACUGUCAGACUUGAGAGUGGUAGAGGGAGGUGGAAUUCCGGGUGUAGUGGUGAAAUGCGUAGAUAUCCGGAGGAACACCAGUGGCGAAAGCGGCCUCCUGGCCCAUUUCUGACGCUCAGACACGAAAGCUAAGGUAGCAAACG